CCUACGGGUGGCAGCAGUGAGGAAUAUUGGUCAAUGGACGAGAGUCUGAACCAGCCAAGUAGCGUGAAGGAUGACUGCCCUAUGGGUUGUAAACUUCUUUUAUAUGGGAAUAAAAUGUUCCACGUGUGGGAUUUUGUAUGUACCAUAUGAAUAAGGAUCGGCUAACUCCGUGCCAGCAGCCGCGGUAAUACGGAGGAUCCGAGCGUUAUCCGGAUUUAUUGGGUUUAAAGGGAGCGUAGGUGGAUUGUUAAGUCCGUUGUGAAAGUUUGCGGCACAACCGUAAAAUUGCAGUUGAAACUGGCAGUCUGGAGUACAGUAGAGGUGGGCGGAAUGCGUGGUGUAGCGGUGAAAUGCUUAGAUAUCACGAAGAACUCCGAUUGCGAAGGCAGCUCACUGGACUGCAACUGACACUGAGGCUCGAAAGUGUGGGUAUCAAACAGGAUUAGAUACCCCAGUAGUC
rnacentral:rRNA from 1 species